UGCGUAGGCGGGUUUCUAAGUCAGAGGUGAAAGCCUGGAGCUCAACUCCAGAACUGCCUUUGAUACUGGAAGUCUUGAGUAUGGCAGAGGUGAGUGGAACUGCGAGUGUAGAGGUGAAAUUCGUAGAUAUUCGCAAGAACACCAGUGGCGAAGGCGGCUCACUGGGCCAUUACUGACGCUGAAGCAAAGCUGGGGAGCAAACA
rnacentral:rRNA from 1 species